UUCUCGGUAGUAGAGGGGUUAGUAUGCAAGCUUGUCACGCUUGAGACCCGGGUUCGAUUCCCGGCCGGGAAG
rnacentral:tRNA from 1 species